rnacentral:rRNA from 1 species
UACAGAGGUCUCAAGCGUUGUUCGGAUUCAUUGGGCGUAAAGGGUGCGUAGGCGGUCGGCUAAGUCAAAGGUGAAAUCUCGGGGCCCAACCCCGAAACUGCCUUCGAUACUGGUUGGCUAGAGGACUGGAGAGGAGACUGGAAUUCACGGUGGAGCAGUGAAAUGCGUAGAUAUCGUGAGGAACACCGGUGGCGAAAGCGGGUCUCUGGACAGUACCUGACGCUGAUGCACGAAGGCCAGGGGAGCAAACGGG